AUGGCGGCGGCGCGACCAUGGUCCAGCCUCCAUGAAGACCUUCUCCGCCGUAUCCUCCUCCUGCUAACGUGCAUCGCCGACCGCGUUAGGGCGUCCGCCGUCAGCAAGCACUGGCGCCAGGUCGCGCUGCAGAACCCGUCCCCGCUGCCAUACAUCGUCAGGCCGUCCACCGCCCGGACCGAGAGCUACCGGAUCUUCGGUCGCUUCGCCGAUCCGCGCCCAUACCUCUCCGCCGAGGGCCGCGCAGAGCGUUUCUGCGGCUCGGCUCCAGGCGGCUGGUUCGUGGUCGCAUCCCCGCACGGGCGCGGCCACGCCCUGCUCAGCCUCGGCACGGGCGAGCGGGUCGCUCUCCCGGAUCGCGUAUGCAUCCCCAUCAACUCCGGCGACAUCAGGUGCCCCAUGAUGAUCCGCGCAGCCGCCAUGUCUGCCGCCCCGUCUUCUGGUGCCUGCGUGGUCGCUGCCAUAACGUCCACCAGGACAACCAUGGCCUUCUGCCGGCCUGGCAUGGAGUGCUGGACAUCGCUGCCGGCGAAGAUGACGGCCCAGCCCGACGCCCAAGACCUGACUUACCACGACGGAUGGUUCUGGGCCGUCGACGAAGAUGACGACCUCUUCUGCUACAAGGCCGAACUUUCGACAUCUAGGCAAACCAUUCUACAUCUUGCCUACGGGAUCGGUGCUCACCUGACGGACAUGACACACGGCGAGAUCGUGUCCCGCUACCUCCUGCCCUCCGCCUCUGGCGCCGAUCUGCUGAUGGUGAGGAGAUUCAUCUCGCCGGCGACAGGCCGCACGUCCCGGUUCCAAGUCUUCAGGUUACAGAAGCCACAGGAGGGCCGGCCGGCUUCCUGGCGCGUUUACAAGAUGACCCGGCAGCUGCUCUUCGUCGGCCGGGCCUGCUCCAAGGCCUUCGAUAUGGGACACGCCGGCAACCCGGGCUACAUCUACUUCCUCGACGACGUCUACACUGGUGGUCCGCACCAGCAGAACGAGUAUCCUUGUGCUGAUGCCGGCGGGUGGUGUUACUCAAUCCCCGGUGAGAUCCAGCGCUGCCUGCAAUCUGCUCCACCCUCGGACACCUCACCGUGCAUUUGGUACCACCAUUAA
rnacentral:rRNA from 1 species